rnacentral:rRNA from 1 species
GUGCCAGCCGCCGCGGUAAUUCCGGCUCCAAUAGCGUAUAUUAAAGUUGUUGUGGUUAAAAAGCUCGUAGUUGAACCUUGGGCCUGGCUGGCCGGUCCGCCUCACCGCGUGCACUGGUCCGGCCGGGCCUUUCCCUCUGUGGAACCCCAUACCCUUCACUGGGCGUGGCGGGGAAACAGGACAUUUACUUUGAAAAAAUUAGAGUGCUCCAGGCAGGCCUAUGCUCGAAUACAUUAGCAUGGAAUAAUAAAAUAGGACGCGCGGUUCUAUUUUGUUGGUUUAUAGGACCGCCGUAAUGAUUAAUAGGGACAGUCGGGGGCAUCAGUAUUCAACUGUCAGAGGUGAAAUUCUUGGAUCAGUUGAAGACUAACUACUGCGAAAGCAUUUGCCAAGGAUGUUUUCAUUAAUCAGGAACGAAAGUUAGGGGAUCGAAGACGAUCAGAUACCGUCGUAGUCUUAACCAUAAACUAUGCCGACUAGGGAUCGGACGGUGUUAUUCAUGACCCGUUCGGCACCUUACGAGAAAUCAAAGUGCUUGGGCUCCACGGAGAGAAUAGUCGCAAGGCUGAAACUUAAAGAAAUUGACGGAAGGGCACCACCAGGGGUGGGAGCCUGCGGCUUAAUUUGACUCAACACGGGGAAACUCACCAGGUCCAGACACAAUGAGGAUUGACAGAUUGAGAGCUCUUUCUUGAUUUUGUGGGUGGUGGUGCAUGACCGUUCUUAGUUGGUGGGGUGACUUGUCUGCUUAAUUGCGAUACGAACGAGACCUUAACCUGCUAAAUAGCCCGCAUUGCUCCGGCAGUGCGCUGGCUCCUUAGAGGACUUUUCGGCUCAAGUCG